UACGUAGGGGGCUAGCGUUGUCCGGAAUCAUUGGGCGUAAAGUGCGCGUAGGCGGCCCGGUAAGUCCGCUGUGAAAGUCAAAGGCUCAACCUUUGAAUGUCAGCGGAUACUGCCGGGCUAGAGUCCGGAAGAGGCGAGUGGAACUCCUGGUGUAGCGGUGGAAUGCGCAGAUAUCAGGAAGAACACCAACGGCGAAGGCAGCUCGCUGGGACGGAACUGACGCUGAGGCGCGAAAGCGUGGGGAGCAAACAGG
rnacentral:rRNA from 1 species